GCUUAAGGGGCUGUGUAGUCUCGGAACAGACCGCAAGUGAAAGCCAGGACAAACAGGGCUAGAGCCGGCCACCAGGACCGUGUGCUCUGAACGGUGGCUCCGGGCUGCGGCUGCGCGGAGAAGGCUGCAUGCUUAGGAGCUUUCGGAGUUAACCCUCAUGCAGCUCCAUCUUCUCCGCUGGACACAGGCUCCACUGGGUCAGAACUGUGCCUGUCUUGCCUUGGUCCCCCGCCCAGUGCCUGGCAGAGUAAGUGCAAAGCAAAUGCUACUGACCGAAUGAGGGCAAUGCGUGAUUGGACAAGAAGGACCAGCUGAGGCAUUCGCUGCAGCAUGUGCGCAGCCCCAGAGAGGCUUGUUCCUGCUCUGCCCAAGGGUGAGAGUGUCUGCACGCGUGUCGGGGCCGAGAGGAAAACACUGAUACAAGCAGUGGGUGUAUUCUUCUCUUGAUUGUUCCUUCUUUUGUCAACUAAUAAAGGCAAGUGUUGUGGCCGUGAAUGUGCUGAGCAGGGAGAGGGACUCAAGUACUGGGAGACGUGGCCGCGUCCUGAGGGACUCACGGUGUAGGAGGGCAAACGCGACAGCCAGAGAAACAACUGUCCUCUCAGUUACGCCGUGUGAAAAGCCGCCCUGUGUCCCGGGGCUGUCCCCAGACCAGGCCUAGUGCACCAUGGGCUGGUCCCUGCACAUCUCCAGAGCUCCCGGGGUCCAUGGCAGGCGCAGACACAAUCAUGGGCUGUGGACGGCACACGGAGCUGGUUCAGAGGCCGCAGUGCAUUCUUGCUCAGGCUGGGAGAAGGCAUAAAAAUUGGACCCUGGUGGAGGCCGGCUCUGGGUGUUGGAUGAGCCUCUGACAGAAGACAUGAAUCUUGGCCCUGAGUUCCAGUGAAGGAUGGUGGGGCUGACAAGCCGACAUCAAACACGCCUCCGUUCUAGGGGAGCCAUCACUCACCCCUGAGGCCUGGUGGCACAUGCUAAUGAGGACCCAGCUCAGGUAUCAUCCCUGCACAGGCAGACAGAGUUGC
rnacentral:lncRNA from 1 species